AGUUUCUCUGUGUAGCCCUGGCUGUCCUGGAACUCACUCUGUAGACCAGGCUGGCCUUGAACUCAGAAAUCCACCUGCCUCUGCCUCCCAAGUGCUAGGAUUAAAGGCAUGCACCACCACUGCCCG
rnacentral:miRNA from 1 species